rnacentral:rRNA from 1 species
ACCGGCGCACGGGUGAGUAACGCGUAUGCAACCUGCCUACAACAGGGGAAUAACCCGUUGAAAGACGGACUAAUACCCCAUAACACAGGGAUCCCGCAUGGGAAUAUUUGUUAAAGAUUUAUCGGUUGUAGAUGGGCAUGCGUUCCAUUAGCUUGUUGGUGAGGUAACGGCUCACCAAGGCAACGAUGGAUAGGGGAACUGAGAGGUUUAUCCCCCACACUGGUACUGAGACACGGACCAGACUCCUACGGGAGGCAGCAGUGAGGAAUAUUGGUCAAUGGACGCAAGUCUGAACCAGCCACGUCGCGUGAAGGAAGACGGCCCUACGGGUUGUAAACUUCUUUUGUAAGGGAAUAAAGUGUAGUACGUGUACUAUUUUGCAUGUACCUUACGAAUAAGGAUCGGCUAACUCCGUGCCAGCAGCCGCGGUAAUACGGAGGAUCCGAGCGUUAUCCGGAUUUAUUGGGUUUAAAGGGUGCGCAGGCGGGAGAUUAAGUCGGCGGUGAAAUUUUGCAGCUCAACUGUAAAAGUGCCUUCGAAACUGGUUUCCUUGAGUGUGG